UAUGUUUUGGCUUUCUUUCAAAGAUUUGAAGAUGUAUUUUGAAAAACAGAAAUUCAGGAACCGAUUUGGUAAGUGUUUUCAAGUAGUCCUUCACUUUGUAGACGCAAUUUGAAAACCUUCUCUUCAAAAAACUCUUUGUUCAUGCAGACAGGAAUUCGCGAAGCAUGUUUUGAAUCGCAAAUAUACAGUGUUCCGGUGUAGUUAGUGUUCAAAUUCUGUCAAUAGUAAACUGUUUUCAGUUGUAUAACCACCUGAAAAAGAUCUUCGACAAAGGGUCUUCACUUUCACCGAAACAGCCAUCUAUAAAAACAAUUCAAUAGCUGUACAUGCAAACAGUCGUACACGUUUUCCUUGACUUAAGUUUCUUCGUGAGUUUUGUUUUGCUCGUGAGUCGUGUAUCCAGCCAACACGAUUCGUUCACGCAACGACCGGAGACAUGCACGUGUAUAUUUCGUUGUAUAAAAGCUGGUUUAAUAUACCAGACAAAACGAAAUACGUACAGUAUAUAUAAGCCAAAUAGGCCAUCGCCAUCUUGAAUCUAUUGUUUUCACCAUUGUGCUUGCAUCCCCUCCAAAUUUACCUACCAUUCUUUUGUGUUUCACAUUAUGGCGUCGUUAACCUUGGAAGGGUCUAUUCGGGGUUUUUGUGUCCGGAUAAAUUGCAGGGGCCAAUUGUUCAAAGGUGGGUUAGCGCUAACCCUGGGUUAAAAUUUAACCUGUUGUUUUAGUUUGUGUAUUUCUGCACGUCUGUAUUUAUUUCAAAUUUUCAGGGAAGUAAACUCCUAUCGAUUCAGACAAGAUCUCUGAAGAAACAUUUUAGACAAGCUGUCACGAAGUUUGCUUUGAAUUUUAGGUUAACGUAGGGUUAAGCUAAUCCACCUUUGAACAACUGGCCCCAGAUGAAUUAUAACAUGUAUAUAGCUGAAA
rnacentral:lncRNA from 1 species